AUUGAACGCUGGCGGCAGGCUUAACACAUGCAAGUCGAGCGAGCGGCGGACGGGUGAGUAAUGUCUGGGAAACUGCCUGAUGGAGGGGGAUAACUACUGGAAACGGUAGCUAAUACCGCAUCCCAUCAGAUGUGCCCAGAUGGGAUUAGCGAGUAGGUGGGGUAAAGGCGCACCUAGGCGACGCUCCCUAGCUGGUCUGAGAGGAUGACCAGCCACACUGGAACGGAGACACGGUCCAGACUCCUACGGGAGGCAGCAGUGGGGAAUAUUGCGAAAUGGGGGCAAGCCUGAUGCAGCCAUGCCGCGUGUGUGAAGAAGGCCUUCGGGUUGUAAAGCACUUUCAGUGACGAGGCGUUACUCGCAGAAGAAGCACCGGCUAACUCCGUGCCAGCAGCCGCGGUAAUAC
rnacentral:rRNA from 1 species